rnacentral:rRNA from 1 species
UACGUAGGGUGCAAGCGUUGUCCGGAAUUAUUGGGCGUAAAGAGCUCGUAGGCGGUUUGUCGCGUCUGCUGUGAAAACUCGGGGCUUAACUCCGGGCCUGCAGUGGGUACGGGCAGACUAGAGUGCGGUAGGGGAGACUGGAAUUCCUGGUGUAGCGGUGAAAUGCGCAGAUAUCAGGAAGAACACCCGUGGCGAAGGCGGUUCUCUGGGCAUGUCCUGACGCUGAGGAGCGAAAGUGUGGGGAGCGAACAGG